GCUGUGAUGGCCGAGUGGUUAAGGCGCUGGACUCGAAAUCCAGUGGGGUUUCCCCGCGCAGGUUCAAGUCCUGCUCACAGCG
rfam:Pteropus alecto contig104230, whole genome shotgun sequence.